UGAGUAAUGUGUGACUGUGGAGAAGGAGCUCUGCAGGGGAGUGGAGGAUGAGUAAUGUGUGACUGUGGAGAAGGAGCUCUGCAGGGGAGUGGAGGAUGAGUAAUGUGUGACUGUGGAGAAGGAGCUCUGCAGGGGAGUGGAGGAUGAGUAAUGUGUGACUGUGGAGAAGGAGCUCUGCAGGGGAGUGGAGGAUGAGUAAUGUGUGACUGUGGAGAAGGAGCUCUGCAGGGGAGUGGAGGAUGAGUAAUGUGUGACUGUGGAGAAGGAUCUCUGCAGGGGAGUGGAGGAGAUAAGACUAGUCAAACAUUCCACAAUAAAGCAACUUUGGGGAGUGGACUUUUACUGCUACGUUUUAGAUAACACUAAAAGCCAUUGUUUAUAUAGCUUGGGAGGCAGGGUUUUGGUCUCAGGAGUAAAAAGGUACUGACGUAGGUAGUGACAUCACCAGGCAACACUGAGGGUGUAACAAAACAACUGGAGACCUUUUGUUUGAUGCAGAACUUACUCAGAAACAUGUGUUAUGUUCCUGUUCCUGUUCCUGUUUGUCAACUUCUGUCUGCAAUUGCAUUAAUAAAGGUUUUUGAAUGAUUUAAUUAAAGAUAUUGUCAUAAUGUUAAUUUCACCAAUGAACCAAUGAUUGACAAAGAAGGACGUAAGGAACGAACCCUAACAUUUGGCGAGCUUGCCGGGAGUGAGUGUCUCCCCCCGGUUGGAGGAGAUUCUACACCGUGGUGCCAGAGAUCCAAAUGAAACAAGGCAGCCUGGGAAAGAACAGAAAAAGCACUAAAGUUUCAAGACAGAGACACCAGAAAGAGACCCAAGUAGACUUGGACGCAGCAUCAGUGGACAGAGAGGGAUGUUCAGAACUCAGUCAGUCUGGUUAGUUUGUGAGGGUAGACUGAGGCUGCUACCUGACAGGAUCAGAGGACAGCGAGGGAUGUUCAGAACUCAGUCAGUCUGGUAAGUUGGUGAUGGUAGACUGAGGCUGCUACCUGACAGGAUCAGAGGCCAGAGAUGGUUGUUCAGAACUCAGUCAGUCUGGUUAGUUGGUGAAGGUAGACUGAGGCUGCUACCUGACAGGAUCAGAGGACAGCGAGGGAUGUUCAGAACUCAGUCAGUCUGGUUAGUUGGUGACGGUAGACUGAGGCUGCUACCUGACAGGAUCAGAGGACAGCGNNNNNNNNNNCUGUUCGAAUGAUGUCUGUGAGUAUAACAGUACUCAUAUGUGCUGUAGACAGUCAGAUCCCCCGAUGGGUGUGUUGGACCACAGUGCUGUAGACAGUCAGAUCCCCUGUUGGACCACAGUGUUGUAGACAGUCAGAUCCCCUGUUGGACCACAGUGUUGUAGACAGUCAGAUCCCCCGAUGGGUGUGUUGGACCACAGUGUUGUAGACAGUCAGAUCCCCUGAUGGGUGUGUUGGACCACAGUGUUGUAGACAGUCAGAUCCCCUGUUGGACC
rnacentral:lncRNA from 13 species